rnacentral:miRNA from 2 species
CAGUGGUCCCACCGUGGCUCG